UUCUGUGCGAUGCUGAAAAACUUACAGACUGGAGGGACAUGGGUCAAGGUUGGUGGGAAUCCUCUGAUGGCCAGGUACAGAAAAUCGAACUGCAGUGGACAGUCAUGACUAAAGUCCAUGAACACACAAAUAGCUCUACAUCAGCCUGAUCUAUGGUAAACAUAGAAAAUUUCCCAGAAUUACAAAUACUUCCUGAUAGUUUGUGGUCAAAGGGAGCAGCAGACGUAGGAUUAUUAAGUACCGCUGACCCAGUAAUUAUUAAACCAAAAUCUGAUUACAGACCUUAUGUACGUCAAUAUCCACUUAAACCAGACGCACAGGCAGGGAUAGAGCCAGUAAUCAUGGAGAUGCUGAAGGCAGGCAUACUGAUUGAAAAACCUGAUGCUCGUUGUAAUACCCCUAUAUUCCCAGUAAGGAAACAAGGUACAGAUAAAUGGCGUCUAGUGCAGGAUUUAAGAGCUGUGAAUCAAGCUGUACAAACUAGAGCACCCUGUGUUCCAGACCCACAUACACUGCUAAAUCAGUUGACCCCUGACAAAAAAUGGUUCACGGUUGUGGAUCUCAGUAAUGCUUUUUUCUCGAUUCCUUUACAUGAGGAUUCACAGGACUGGUUUGCCUUUACCUACAAGGAAAAAAAAUUCUGUUACACGCGUAUGGCUCAAGGGUUCACGGAUAGCCCCACAAUUUUUUCACAAGCUAUUGCAAAUUGCAUGUCGCAGCUGUCAAUAGCAAAAAAUUCCCAAGUAUUGACUUAUGUGGAUGACAUUCUCAUAGCAUCAGACACAGAGGAGCAUUGUAGAACGCAGUCAUUAGAAGUGUUACAACACCUGGCAAAAACAGGAAACAAAGUCAGUUUGGAGAAACUGCAGUGGGUGCAAAGGGAAGUAAGGUAUUUGGGACACAUUCUUUCACAGCAAGGGCGAAAGCUUCUGGAGUCUCGGAAAACAGCCAUCAUGCAGGCACCCAAACCACAGACAAAGAAACAGAUGUUGGCAUUUUUAGGCUUAUGCAAUUACUGUAGAGCCUGGGUUCCAAACUACGCCCAAAUUACACAACCAUUGUUAUCAGUUAUACAUGAUGUGCCCAUGGCAAUGUCUGGAAAUGUAAAAUGGACUCUAGAAGCUGAACAGGCAUUUACUGAAGUUAAGCAAGCUUUAACUACAGAAAUAAUUCUGCCCUUACCAGAUUAUUCUAAACAGUUUGUUCAAACUGUAGAUUGUAAAAAUGGUUUUAUGACUUCAGCCUUGUUGCAACCCUUUGGUGACAAACUGCGACCCAUUGCUUAUUAUUCUAAACGUUUAGAUGCAGUGUCAAGAGCACUCCCACCUUGUGUGCAAGCGGUAUGUGCAGCAGCAAUGUCAGUGGAAUCUUCGAGUGAGUUAGUUUUGUUUCAUCCACUGACAUUGAAAGUACCACACGCGGUCUCAGUUCUGUUAUUACAAAGUAAGAUGACUUUCCUUUCACCAGCGAGACAUUUAAGCUGUAUUGCUCUGCUACUAUCUCAGCCGCAUAUUACAAUUGAGCGCUGUACUUCCUUGAAUCCUGCUACAUUGCUUCCUACUCCAGAAGAUGGAGAACCACAUGAUUGUAAAGCUAUAACAGAGCAAAAUAGUAAACCAAGGGAGGAUUUGUUAGAUACGCCAUUAACAGAAGGCGACGUGGUGUAUAUAGAUGGGUCAAGCAGGAAAAAUGACAGAGGUAUUACAGAAACGGGGUAUGCAGUAGUAACUGAUAAACAAAUCAUUAAGGCAGAACAACUACCAUCUCAUCUUUCAGCCCAAGCAGCGGAACUUAUAGCUCUCAUAGAAGCCUGCUUAUUUUAUAAGGAUAAGACUGUGACAAUUUAUACAGAUAGCCAAUAUGCAUUUUCAACAGUGCAUCUUUUUGCAGCCCAGUGGGCAAGAAGGGGAAUGCAGACGUCUACAGGUCAGCCAGUGAAACAUGCUACAUUAUUAAAACAGUUGCUCUUAGCUAUUAUGAAACCCAAAAACAUAGCUAUCUGUAAAUGUGCAGCCCACACUGCGGGCAAAGAUUCUGUCACCUUAGGAAAUGCCUUUGCAGAUAAGAUAGCUAAGGAAGCGGCACAGGGCCUUUAUGGCCACAGCGACAUAUACUUACAUAUACAAGAGCCAAUAAGCCAGGAGGUUUUACAGGACAUGCAAACACAAGCCCCGAAAGCAGAAAUAGAGCAGUGGCUUAGGGAUGGUGCGACAUUGAAGGAUAACAUUUAUCAUAUUAAUGAUAAACCGGUACUCCCUAAAGCCCUGUUCAAAACUGCAGCAUUAUUGAGUCAUGGGCCUUGCCAUGUCUCAACAGGAGGGAUGGUACAGACAAUAAGUAAAUACUUUUAUGCAAAAGGCUUUAAUAACUAUUCAAAAAAUUUUUGUAGAGCAUGUUUAACUUGCUGUAAAAAUAAUCCACAGGGUAAUCUGAGACCAAGAAGGGGUAGAUUUCCAACACCUUGUUAUCCUUUUCAGUUCCUUCACAUGGAUUUCAUAGAACUGAAUCAAUGUAGGACUUACAAGUACUGUUUAGUACUUGUAGAUCCUUUUACAAAAUGGGUUGAAAUUAUUCCAUCGGCAAAAGCGGAUGCACUGACGGUUGCAAAAGCCUUAUGUAAGACCAUAAUUCCUAAUUAUGGCAUUCCAGAGAAGCUGUGGAGUGAUAAUGGACCACACUUUGUAAAUGAGAUAGUAUCUAAGGUGUCUCAAAAUUUAGGCAUUGAACUGAAGAACCAUUGUGCAUACCACCCGCAGAGUGCAGGGUUAGUGGAAAGAACAAAUGGGACGAUAAAAAAUAGGUUGAGGAAAAGCAUGGCAGAAACGGGGAGACCUUGGGUGGACUGUAUAGACCUAGUGAAAAUGUACAUGCGCAUAACACCAUCAGAAUUAGGACUUACUCCGUAUGAAAUAUUAUAUGGCAGACCAUUCAGGCUGCCUGUAUAUACGGAGGAAGAAAAGGCAGAAGAGAGCUGUGAUUUGAGUGACUGGAUGAGGAAAUUUUUACAAAGUAAACAAGUAAUUGAUGCUAGUAAACUGCCAGAAGCAUCUUCUUUCUCUUCACAGGUGCCACUGAUACAGCCAGGAGACUGGGUGCUGGUCAAGGUCAUCAAACGGAAGUGCUGGUCAAACCCGAGGUGGGACGGUCCAUAUCAAGUUCUACUGACCACACCAACAGCAGUGAAAAUCGCUGAAAGAUCUACGUGGAUUCAUCUGAGUCACUGCAAGAAGGUGGAGCCACUUACUUCGGAGUAAAGGUGGAAGUCUGGUUACAAAGGGGGAAAUUCCUUAUAGUGGUUUUUUUCGUCUCAACCCAGUGAAGACAACAACUGAUCCCUACUCCUUUAGAAUGGCGCCCUUCUGCAGCCUCAUAAUUAUUUUCAGCGUGAGCACACUGCUAAUUUUAGGAGCAACAUCUUCAUUAAAUUACACCCAGUACCCACAUGAAUAUGCAACCAAUGAAUGGUGGCAGUUAAUGAACGUCACAGCUCAUGUUAAUAAUUGGACAAAUUGUUAUGUGUGUGCACAUAUGCCAGUGGCAGGACACAAUACUGGACUGAGGCCUUACAAUGUUAGCUGGGAGCACUCAUGGUGCCUCUAUGGGUUGGCUACACAUCCAGGGAGAAGAGCUAAAUGGAGUGAAGCAAAUUUUACCUCAAUUCUUAACGUAAAGGGGAUAAGUUCUCCCAUUAAUAGAAACUGUUCUAUGUUAACAGAUUUGCUCACUUGGCCCCAGUUAGCUAACCCCCUUCCUGAGGUACUGAUGUUGACUCAUUUGCCAGAGAAAGCUUUUCCAGCAUGUGUUAUAGCAAAUGGAACCAUCAAGGUGGGUAGAUUACCAGCCACUCUCUGUAAUGCUACCUAUUCGUACUGUCCACCAACAGAUGAGAGACAAUGCCUGACCUGCCUCAAAAAUAUUGCUUGUUAUAAUAAUCUAACUGUACGGAGGAAGGAAUGUCAGUCUGACCUGGCCUACAGAAUACAGAUGGACAUUGGAGAGCUGAGUCAGUGCUCACGAGUAGCACCAGGACCCAAGGGAACAAGAGUGUUAGCGGAUUGGUAUUUCAUCUGUGGUCACAAAGCAUACGUGUCCCUUCCCCCAGGUUGGGGAGGCCUGUGUAGUGUUGCAUAUGUGUCAGAUCAUGUCUUUUUCAUGCAGUACCAGGCCAGUCAUCCACAUCACAAGACGAAGCGACAGGUUGGAGAGUGGCUCACGAGCCAUUCAGAAGUCCCAGAGGAGCUCCGGAUUUGGGGAGUCGGAGCGAAGAUUGCCCAGUCUAUCUUUCCAGGAAUUGGACUGGGAUUUGUGCGUGACCAAGUGGAAAUAAAUCGCUAUGCACUAUUACGUCUGAUGAAGAUGAUGCUGGUGGAGCCAUAAGGGAGGCACUCGACAGACUGACUGAAUUACAGAAAUAUGUACAACAGCACACUCAGGAAAGCCAGAGUGAUUGGUUUUCCUGGCUAAAUGCGGGAACUUGGUGGCAGGUAUUGUUGAAAUGCCUGACUUCUGUUUUGUGUGUGUUAGUGUUGAUUUGUGUGUUUACAAUGUGUAUUCUGCCCUGCAUCAGAUCCAUGAUAACAAAGAUUUUUACUGGUUAUGUUGUGUCAUAUUUGCAGCUUCAGAUGGUCGACCAAGACGCUGAAAUGCCUCAGGAUAUUUUGUAAAUAUGUAUAUAUUUGGCAAUGAAUGAAACCCACACUGAAAAUGUGCAAGCAAGUGGUGUGGCGUGGAAAAAUAUGCCAGUGAAGUUAUGAUAAACAGGGGGGAAAUGUUGGAGUUAUGGUAUAAAUUCCAUUCUGUUUAUUAUAAAUUAUCAUAUCUUCUGUUUGUAUAUUUUCUAUAAGUUGUUUUAUGUGCAUAUGAUACUGUUGUUUUUAUGUUUGAAAUGGGAACACG